rnacentral:tRNA from 1 species
GGGGCUGUGGUUUAGUGGCAGAGCAUCUGCCUUGCUUGCAAAAGGUCUCCGGUUCAAUUCCUGGCAUCCCCA